UGAAGUCACUGGAAACUGUGAUGGAAGCUCGAAGCGAUACUGACGUGCAAAUCGUUCGUCUGACAUGAGUAUAGGGGCGAAAGACUAAUCGAACCAUCUAGUAGCUGGUUCCCUCCGAAGUUUCCCUCAGGAUAGCUGGAAUUCGUCGGCGAGUUUUAUCAGGUAAAGCGAAUGAUUAGCGGAAUCUGGGAUGAAACAUUCUAGUCCUAUUCUCAAACUUUAAAUGGGUAAGAUGCGGGGGUUGCUUAGCUGAACCCUUGCGUUGAAUCGGAGUUCUUAGUGGGCCAUUUUUGGUAAGCAGAACUGGCGAUGUGGGAUGCUCCAGACGCUUGGUUAAGGGGCCAAAGUUCUCGCUCAUUCCGAUACCAUAAAGGGUGUUGGCUGAUACAGACAGCAGGACGGUGGCCAUGGAAGUCGGAACCCGCUAAGGACCGUGUAACAACCCACCUGCCGAAUCAGCUAGCCCCGAAAAUGGAUGGCGCUCAAGCGAGACCCCGAAACCGGGCCAUUCGGGCAGAUGCGACGCCCGGAUGAGUAGGAGGGCGCGGGGGUCGCUGCGAAGGCGCGGGCGCGAGCCCCGCUUGGAGCGGCCCCUGGUGCAGAUCUUGGUGUUAGUAGCAAAUAUUCAAAUGGAAACUUUGAAGGCCGAAGUGGAGAAAGGUUUCACGUGAACAUCAUUUGGACGUGAGUGACUCGGUCCUAAGGCAGUCCGUAUGGGGUUCAGAAGGCGCGCUUCUUUCAGUCGCGCCGAGAGCCGAAAGGGCAAUCGGUUAAGAUUCCGAUAGUGGGACAGGGGGCUGGGCGGCGACGCGUUCAAACCCGGCGACGGUUGCCUGGGCCCCGGGAAGAGUUAUCUUUUCUUUUUAACACCGCGCUCGCCCCUGAAAUGGGAUUAGCCCUCGAUAGGGGGGGGCGCGUGGCAGAGCGGCUGACUUCCUCAGCCGUCCGGUGCGCUCGGGAGGCUCCUUGAAAAGCCGGGGGCGUGCAUGCCCCCCGUCCCAGCCGUACUCAUAACCGCAUCAGGUCUCCAAGGUUAACAGCCUCUGGCCGAUAGAACAAUGUAGGUAAGGGAAGUCGGCAAAUUGGUUCCGUAAGUUCGCGAUAUGGAAUGGCUCAUCAGACUGGGUGGUAGAGGCUCGGUUCAUGAAGCUUGCUAGCCGGCGAGACUGGCUAGCCGCCCCUCGGGGUGGCAGGCCGGGCUUGCCCGGUGGGCUCGUGGAGGAAUCGAGACAGCCGGCGUGCCGGCGCCCUGCGGUUCGCCGCUUGGGGGUCACGCCGUGUCGCCGCGCGUUCUCGCCGCAACGAACAGUCAAUGAUGAACUCGUAGUGACCACGGGAACCCGACUGUUUAAUUAAAACAAAGCAUUGCGAUGGUCGCAAGCCGAUGUUGACGCAAUGUGAUUUCUGCUCAGUGCUCUGAAUGUCAAAGUGAUGUAAUUCAAUCAAGCGCGGGUAAACAGCGGGAGUAACUAUGACUCUCUUAAGGUAGCCAAAUGCCUCGUCAUCUAAUUAGUGACGCGCAUGAAUGGAUCAACGAGGUUCCCACUGUCCCUAUCUACUAUCUAGCGAAACCACAGCCAAGGGAACGGGCUUGGGAGUAACGGCGGGGAAAGAAGACCCUGUUGAGCUUGACUCUAGUCUGACACUGUGAAAUGACCCGCUUGGUGCAGUUAUAAGUGGGAGCGCAAGCACCAGUGAGAUACCACUACUUUCAGCGUUGUUUUACUUACAUGGUCAGUAACCGCGGGCACUCUGUUGCCCAUUUCUAGCGUCCAAGGUUGGCCCUUGCGGCUGGCCGAGGUUCGUCGUGGACACUGUCAGGUGGGGAGUUUGGCUGGGGCGGCACAUCUGUUAAAUGAUAACACAGGUGACCCAAGAUCAGCUCAGAGCGAACGGAAAUCGCUCGUCGAGUUUAAGGGCAAAAGCUGAUUUGA
rnacentral:rRNA from 1 species